UAGGACACCGGUUCUCGUACGAUCACUGAAAUUAAGCAACUUCGAGCCUAGUCAGUACCUAGAUGGGUGACCGCAUAGAAAUAUCUGGUACUGUA